rnacentral:rRNA from 1 species
GACGAACGCUGGCGGCGUGCUGAACACAUGCAAGUCGAACGGGACCUUCGGGUCUAGUGGCGGACGGGUGAGUAACGCGUGGGAACGUGCCCUUUGGUUCGGAAUAGCCCUGGGAAACUGGGAGUAAUACCGGAUACGGUCGAGAGACGAAAGAUUUAUCGCCGAAGGAUCGGCCCGCGUUGGAUUAGGUAGUUGGUGGGGUAAUGGCCUACCAAGCCGACGAUCCAUAGCUGGUUUGAGAGGAUGAUCAGCCACACUGGGACUGAGACACGGCCCAGACUCCUACGGGAGGCAGCAGUGGGGAAUCUUAGACAAUGGGGGAAACCCUGAUCUAGCCAUGCCGCGUGAGCGAUGAAGGCCUUAGGGUUGUAAAGCUCUUUCAGUGGGGAAGAUAAUGACGGUACCCACAGAAGAAGCCCCGGCUAACUCCGUGCCAGCCGCCGCAGUAA